rnacentral:lncRNA from 1 species
UCGGGAGGAUGUAGGUAUAAUGCCUUGAAUCUACUGAAACCAAUCACAAAGUACGGCAGUAAAGUAAUUUAAGGGUCACGAACUGGUACACUUGUGUCACUACUAGAACCUCCAAUUGGUGACGAACUCGAAUCAGACUCGGCUUGACUCCAUUUUUAACUUCUGUCCAUAUUCUUUACCCGUUUUCUCUACUGAUUUAACUUCGCUUUUUCUCUUCUAGCUUCUCUAAGUGGGUGAUUGUUUUAUAAGUCAAAAAUGGUGAAGUGUAGGCAUGGGUGUUCGCCCUCUCCUCCUCUCUGUUUUCUCUAUCUGUGUGUAUGUUGCAGGUUCUCUAUCUAGCGGUGGCUGGUUGAGGUCUUGGGUGUAGACGACUGAGCGGCAGGGUGGAGGUUUGAGAUGGGUGAAAGCGAUGGGUUAUGUGUGUCGGUCAGAACUGGUGAGUGAAGGUUGGUCGUGAAUUUAGAGGGCAGGGUGGAGGUUUGCCGCUGGAUUUCUAGGUAUGUCUAGCAACGGCAGUGAGGAGAUAGGGGUAGAGACUGGAGGUGAGUAAGAAGAUUGAGUGGCAGUUGAUGCUUUUGUGAAUUUAGAGGGAAUAAAGGCAGAGCUGGUUUUGUGGUGGGCGGCUAAAGGUGUCUUGCGUUAU